rnacentral:lncRNA from 1 species
ACAUUUAAGGAGAACAAGGGACCCGUGCAUUCCCUGCAAGACUUCUCACCCAAUUCCUGGAGGACAGUGAGGCAUUUGUAAAAUGUUGAUGGCCAAGCAUGAUACCUCAUGCCUGAGACGCCAGCUCUCAGGAGGCCCCCGGCAAGUUCAAGGCCAGCUUGCUCUACAUGAUCCAAAGAAGCGUCUUUCUCUGAUUCCUUUUAUCUGGAAGAACUGAGAGGAGACGGGCGAACGGUUGUGAGAAUCUCUUUAAGGGGCAGUCCUGGAAUGAGUGAAGUGCACCGCUGACUCCUGGCCGCCUGUCUCUCCUAUGGCCUGGCAUCUUCACAGAUGCAGAUUUUGAAAAUGCAUUUCUCCUUUAUCUGAGAGCCCCUCCUGCCCCCUCCUCCAGGACCGACACACUAUGCGUGGAACCUGUGAUGCUAGGCCAUCCUUCCUAUGGUUUGACAUAUUGUCUCACCAGUAAAGGGUAGAGCUGGAACCCACCAUGAAAUCCUGGCCCAGCAAAAUACGUGCCCUAGAGAAGAAGGACCACAAACUCAAGGUCACCUGGGGCUACAUACUUAAGAUCCAGUCUCAAAACUCCAAAUCAAACAAAAAUUGCGCUAAUAAUAAAUUGUAGGAAGUAAGAAGAUGACACCAGGUAGCAGGUCUCAGGCAGCCUCUUUCUGGCUUUAGACUCAUGAUGGCUUAGAGUAGUUUUGAACUCCCAGUAUCAUCUUCUAAAUGUGCAUCUCGACAAAAAAAAAAGGAAUGACUUCGCCGGGCGUGGUGGCGCACACCUUUAAUCCCAGCACUCGGGAGGCAGAGGCAGGCGGAUUUCUGAAUUCGAGGCUAGCCUGGUCUACAAAGUGAGCUCCAGGACAGCCAGGGCUAUACAGAGAAACCCUGUCUCGAGAAAAAAAAAAAAAAAAAAGGAAUGAUUUCUCUGAGAUAGGGCCACAUGUAGCCCAGGCAACCCUCAAACUGUGAAGUCACAGAUUAUCUGAUCCUCCUGCCUCCACCUCCCAGUGUAAUUAAAAGUACAGCUAGCCUGGUGGCACGCCAUGCCUGACAUAGAGAGAGCAUGCAUCCAACUAAGGGCUUCAUUCUUACUAAGGCAAGCAUUCUGCCUACUGAGCUACAUACAUCCCCGGUGCAGAGAGGAAUAUUUAUUAAGCCUUCAUCCCUUCCAUAAUUGGACAAUGUAUUGUCUUGAUGUUCUGAUGGGCAGGAAGUUAUUUAGGCAGUAUAUAAACUGUCAUACUACACAGGGCAAAAAUAUUGCUUGUUUUCAAAAAAACAUUAGAAUACAGUAAAAUG